rnacentral:rRNA from 1 species
GGACCAAGGGGUACUAGCACGUGCGUGAGUCAUUGGGACANNUCUAAAUCUCGAAGGCGNNAUGARCGUAAAGACCUACCUCGCGCGACUGCGAGAGGCUGUCUAGNGCCCCCAUCGCGCUAUGGAGUCGGCACACGCCCGCGGGACUGGUCCCAGAGCAGUCCCGUUCACAAUCGCGGGAAGAGACNCACCUUAGAGCGUAUUUACUAGGGUCC